UACGUAGGGUGCAAGCGUUGUCCGGAAUUAUUGGGCGUAAAGAGCUCGUAGGCGGUCUGUCGCGUCGGCUGUGAAAACCCAGGGCUCAACCCUGGGCCUGCAGUCGAUACGGGCAGACUAGAGUCCGGCAGGGGAGACUGGAAUUCCUGGUGUAGCGGUGAAAUGCGCAGAUAUCAGGAGGAACACCGGUGGCGAAGGCGGGUCUCUGGGCCGGAACUGACGCUGAGGAGCGAAAGCGUGGGGAGCGAACAGG
rnacentral:rRNA from 1 species